CGCCUGUUUAUCAAAAACAUUUUCAUCAAGUGUAGUGAAGAUAGGGUCUGCCCAGUGAAGGAUAAACGGCUGCGGUAUUUUGACUGUGCUAAGGUAGCAUAAUCACUUGUUUUUUAAUUGGAGGCUGGAAUGAAGGGUUUAACUAGCAGUAUUUGUUUGUGGAGCCAGGUAAUAUAUUAAAGUCGGGGUAAUAAUUCUGCGAUAAGCUGGGGGACGAUAAGACCCUAGAAGCUUAAUAAAAUUAGGCAGACUUAGUGCUAGGAGUGAAGUUUAUUUUGCUGGGGUGGCAGUGUUAAGUAAACUAACGUAGUUUUGAGUGAUCCUUUAAAUAAAGAUAGAGCGUGAGAGUUACUCUAGGGGUAACAGUGUGAUAUUUUUGGAGAGACCUUAUCGAUAAUUAUGAUUACUACCUCGAUGUUGAAUUAAGAUACCUGUGUGAAGCAGAAAGUACAAUAGGAGGUUUGUUCAACCUUUGAAGUCUUACAUGAUCUGAGUUCAAACCGGAG
rnacentral:rRNA from 1 species